UCGGAGCAAGACAUCAUCAAUAGAUACCAAAACUACAGAUUCAAGUGUAAUCGGAGCAAGACAUCAUCAAUGGAUACCAAAACUACAGUACAACACAUCUCCAUAGCCACCAGAAUGAUAGUACAACACAUUUGAAGAAUGGAAUGUUCAUAUACAGGGUAAAUUAAAGGAUGCAAUGUUCAUACACCGGUAAUGGGCAUGCGCGGUGGACAGGUCCGGUCGUCUUGAACAGCAGUGUCAGAGAGAAUGAUGACUCUCAUUGUGUUCUCAUUGAGCCCGAGUCUCAGAUGGCCUUGUGAAGCCCAAGAUGCUCUACCAGGAGAUCAAGCAUCAUUCUAACUGGGAUCCUUACAAUGCUUGUCUCGGCCUGUGUCAUAGGAAAUUUCAGAAUGGUUAUAUAAUUUUUCAGAGUACUAAAGUUGACAGCAGUUGGUUUUAUACCAUGAAAACAAAGGUCUGGGUAACUAAAGGACAACAAUCUUUGUUGUGCAAGAGUUUUAUUAGAUUCUUACUGUCCUGUUCGACAAUUGAGAUAUAGUAAUUGAAAAAAAAUCAAAUGCUACCGUGAAUCAUAAGAUAAACCAGCAGAAAAUCUAAAGCCUAAUCAUCGGACAAAGUCACACACACAAGCAGAUCGCUUCAAGUAUUGUACAAAGAACAAUGGCCUAGGAAACCAAUCCACAAUCCAGCGAGUUUGCUACAAAGAAAAUCCUAAGGACAACCUGUACACACUCAUACGCAAGUGUCAAUUCUGGUGUUUCCAACUUUAAUGAUAGGCUAAUCGAAACGAGAGGCCAAGCAGUCCUGGAUAAUCAUUUUGAAAAGUCUAAUUAGACAAUGUUAAGUGCAAGAGAGGCAAGGUGACUAAUUCAACAAUGCGCCAGGAACGGACAGAAAAAGAUGAUUGCACUCACACGUCCAUUGUAGUUCUUGUAGUCCUUGUGUGUUUUGCAUCAGGCAGACCAAUGUUACCAAGAAUGGCAUUAACCAUAGACUUUGGGCUGAUCAGCUCUUCAGUUAAUGAGACACCAAACGAUUCGAUAGGUAUAAUAUAUUUGGAAACAGGAUGUGUCAGGCCAGGCUCAAAAACAAGAAUGACACGAUAAGUAAGAAAACAACGGUGGCACAAGUUAAUAUGUGAAUAGGUGGCCUUUAGAUCGUUUAAUAGAUUCAUUAUGUGAGUAUUCAUACUAAGUAAAACUCAAUACCACAACUAAAUUAUAAUCAAUAUAUUUGGAGUAUUCUCUCUGAAAAGGGCAGCAUUUUUAUACACAGCCCGAAUAACAGUAAGAUCACUCACGUGAACCCUAGAUCGAUACUACUGAAGUACAGAAUUUAUAAGCGACCGACAGCUCGUGUUUACCUUGUUCAUUGGUGGCACCCGCCCG
rnacentral:lncRNA from 1 species